rnacentral:lncRNA from 1 species
UGCAUAGAUUUAAAACACAAUUGUCUUCUACAAAAAUAAACAAUCAACCACCAAAAUACAUGAAUACUUAAAAAAGGAAGACUCGGAAACAAGCAGAAGAUAGAGAAGUUACUCGAAGCAAGGCGCCAAAUUUAUUUAUUUUCUUUAAAGAAAAUUUAAGGACAUCAAUUUAAAUUAAUAUAUAGUGGCUUGAAAGAGUUCAUGUGUCUUGUGGAUGAAGAUUCCGAACCUCAUCUCCCCCAGUUUAAGGGGCAUCCUUUCUUUGGUCAGCUUUAGAUGUCAUAUAUAUUAUGGUCGGUGGCACUGACUCGAAGCUUUUGUAAGCUUGGAUUACAGAAGCCACCGUCCCAAUCAGAGUCAAAAACAAGAGAAACACGGCUGCACAUGUAGCUGUUCCGGUCAACAAGUCGGGGAAGUAGACUUUGCUGAGAGUGGCCCAAUACCUAUUUCUCCGAGAUUUAUAGUGAGCUUUGAGAUUCAUGGCUAUGCUGCGGUAUUGCGAACUUUUUUUUUUGAUAACUCUGGUAUCUGGGCAGCCACAGUCCCAACUAUCCCCCCGUAGGGGGUCCAGCGCCCCAGCGGAAGGGAUGUUAAAUCCGCUGUGGCAGGGGCUCGAAGUCGUGAUGGCGGGCACCUCAGCCGAGGUUCCUUUACCACUAGCCGAGGUAUUGCGAACUUGUCGGUUCCUUCAGGCCACGGUUUAAAUCGUUUAUCAUCUGCACCACCAAGUUUGGACUACCCAUACGGUUUCUUAGUACCCC